rnacentral:rRNA from 1 species
CAGUCGCCGCGGGAACACGAAGGGUGCAAGCGUUAAUCGGAAUUACUGGGCGUAAAGCGUGCGUAGGUGGUGGUUUAAGUCCGUUGUGAAAGCCCUGGGCUCAACCUGGGAAUUGCGGUGGAUACUGGGUCACUAGAGUGUGGUAGAGGAUAGUGGAAUUUCCGGUGUAGCAGUGAAAUGCGUAGAGAUCGGAAGGAACAUCUGUGGCGAAGGCGACUAUCUGGGCCAACACUGACACUGAGGCACGAAAGCGUGGGGAGCAAACAGGAUUAGAGACCCCCGUAGUCCCUGUCUCUUAUAA